UCCUGAAGAAUUCCAAGUGACAGGUAAUGUAAACAUCCUACACUCUCAGCUGUGUAGAUAAGAAGAAAGCUGGGAGAAGGCUGUUUACUCUCUCUGCCUUGGAAAGCAGCUGAAAGAAGAAAA
rnacentral:miRNA from 11 species